UACGGAGGGUGCGAGCGUUGUCCGGAAUCAUUGGGCGUAAAGGGCGCGUAGGCGGACUUGUAAGUCGGGAGUGAAAACUCGGGGCUCAACCCCGAGCCUGCUUCCGAAACUGCGAGUCUUGAGGACCGGAGAGGAAAGUGGAAUUCCUAGUGUAGCGGUGGAAUGCGUAGAUAUUAGGAAGAACACCAGUGGCGAAGGCGACUUUCUGGACGGUUCCUGACGCUGAGGCGCGAAAGCUAGGGGAGCAAACAGG
rnacentral:rRNA from 1 species